rnacentral:misc_RNA from 1 species
AACGAAGUCCUGCCAAUCCGGCGGUUUACCAUCACCAUUGGCAAGGGCGAUGGCCAUGAUGGCUGCCAUCUCCAUGACCCAAGAGAGAGGGUUCCACAUGAAACCGAGAAACUUGAGAACCUUGCUCUCCUUCUUCUCCUCGAGCUUGUUGGGACCGAAAAUUUGGAGCCGGUUGGCCCCCUCCUCGGACGAGAGACCUUCCUGAGUACAUUUCAG